rnacentral:rRNA from 1 species
UACGUAGGUGGCAAGCGUUGUCCGGAUUUACUGGGCGUAAAGAGCGCGCAGGCGGUUGGAUAAGUCGAAUGUGAAAGCCCCCGGCUCAACUGGGGAGGGUCAUUCGAUACUGUCCGACUCGAAGGCAGGAGAGGGAAGCGGAAUUCCCGGUGUAGUGGUGAAAUGCGUAGAAAUCGGGAGGAACACCAGUGGCGAAGGCGGCUUUCUGGCCUGUUCUUGACGCUGAGGCGCGAAAGCCAGGGGAGCAAACGGG